rnacentral:rRNA from 1 species
AGCGUGCGCAGGCGGUUGUGCAAGUCUGAUGUGAAAGCCCCCGGGCUUAACCUGGGAACGGCAUUGGAGACUGCACGACUAGAGUGCGUCAGAGGGGGGUAGAAUUCCACGUGUAGCAGUGAAAUGCGUAGAGAUGUGGAGGAAUACCGAUGGCGAAGGCAGCCCCCCUGGGAUGACACUGACGCUCAUGCACGAAAGCGUGGGGAGCAAACAGGAUUAGAUACCCUAGU